rnacentral:lncRNA from 1 species
AGAUCUUACUGGGAAGCUGCUGAUCAGUUUCAGGUGUUUCCUAUCUACAUGUAUUAGUAGACUGACUUUCUCUGGCACUGGCUGUGGCCAAUUAUUACUUUAGCGAGACAGUUAACAACUGCCUGACCAUCACCUGAUGGUCACCCAACACUCGUGGUGUGCGCGUGCGUGCGUGUGUGCGCGCGUGCGUGCCCUCUCCUGCCCUGCUGAUACCUGACUAGCUACCCACUGCGCCAUUUCCACCCUCAAGAUUCCAAGACCCCAAAUCUUUGGGGGAAAAUGCGCAAAGAUUGCCCAGCCUCACAUAUUCCUUCAUAGCAACACAAAGGGACUGAGACAAUAUAUAAGUUAACAUCUGCCAUGUAGUGGAGGUUCCAGAGAAAAAGUGAGAGAAGCUGAGUCUGCACCCUCAACAUGGAGGAAAUAAGCUCUCUUAGGACCAAGAACAGAGGACAGAGGAAGGACUCCAGCAUGAUGGGCACCAAGGGAUUUUGGUCCUUCUGAGAAAGAGGAGAGACAGGGUCUUCCUCUUUGCCUAAGCUGGAGCGCAUUGGUGUGAUCAUCGCUCACUGCUGCCUCAAACUCCUGGGCUCAUGCGACCCUCCCACCUCAGCCUCCUGACUAGUUGGGACUACAGAAUUGGUUCCUUCCAGUGAGUUCUUGGUCUCGCUGACUUCAAGAAUGAAGCCACAGACCUGUGCGAUGAGUGUUACAGCUCUUAAAGAUGGUGUGUCCAGAGUUUGUUCCUUCAGAUGUUCAGAUGUGUCCGGAGUUUCUUCCUUCUGGUGGGUUUGUCCUCUCGCUAACUUCCAAGAAUGAAGCCGUGGACGUUCACAGCAAUCUACUCAUUUGAAUUUUUCUCCAAAUGCAUUGAGCUGAAUGGAAAAAAACAAACUUUAUUGGUAACACCCUGAAAUCCACUCUUGGAAAUCUUGAUUGCACCUAAUUCCAAAUCUGUCACUAUAGUUGGGGAUUCAACUGAAAUCCAUUUUCUUCUUUAUAAAGACAAUAACAAGGUCAAGAUCUAAGCAAACACACAAAUGUGAACAACAGGGAAAGAACCCAUUGACCUACCAAGACAGGCUGCCAACAGAAUUUUGAAGGCUUGCCAAGAUGCUUUUAUGGAGGUAGAGUGAAUGAGAUUCCGUAAGUGCAAAAUAAUCCUUUUAAGACUACCCAGAAAGUAAUAUAAGUGAACUAGUUAUAUAAGAUUCAGUGAGGACUACCAAAACAUUGGGAAGAAAUGUGGAUUUUAUCAUUCAAGGAAAUAUAAUUUUAUUGUAAGAUAUAAUCUUUGUUUUUGUAGUCAAAUAGAAACAUUCAUGCCUUAAUACAACGUUUGGUAAAAAGAACUGAAGAAGACACCAUAGAAGAUUUUAACAAACAAUGAACUCAUUAGCUAAAAGAUUUGUCAUGAAAUAAUGAUUGAUUUAGUUGUUUUCUAAAAUAUUUCUAGUGCCUAUUAGAUGUUGAAGGAGACUUUGAUCAUGAAGUGUGUUCUCUGAGGAGCUGCUAUUUUUAUUUUUAUAUUUGUUUGAAGUGAAUUGUCCUGCUAAUUCUUUAACAUAAAAUAUCUUCAAUUACAUGAUUCAACAUUUUAAAAAGUGAUUAAGACAGAAGAAUAUGUGCUGGGAUUUAUUUUUGGAUCUUUGAAGUAGCAAAGAGUAGCAGAACUCCUUAAUCCAUAGAGUGGUUAUUUUGCUGUAUGAUGACUCUUGUAUUUACUCCCUGAAUUACCCUUUCCACUAAAAAGUAUUAAUGAGACAUUAGUAGGCUAUAGAAAAAAAUACUUCUGAUCUACUUAGAAAUAUUCAUGAGGUUUUCUCCUGGUGGAUUCACAUCAAAUUUUAUUUUUUAAAACCCCAAGUAUUUUUAUUUGAUGAUUAAUAAGUAAGAUGGAGGCUGGUAGGUGGAAAUCGCCAGCAGGAAAAUAAAAUGCUUUGGCUAAGCCGACAACUGCUACUGUCCUCCUCUGUACAGACUCUCCUGCUGAAGACUCACGGAGGCUUAUUUCAAGUCUUCUUUAGUUCAUUACCUGCAUGUUCAAAUGGAGCUGGUACUGUGACUCACAGCUUUCUGUCCAAGAAUGCGAUUUGUACCUCUACAAAUCUUCUACACCUUCUUCAUCUAGUAAACACUUACUCUACAGGUCUCAUCUCAAAUCUAUUACUAUAUGCAACUAUAGUACAUAAGCAAGCCAUUUAAAAAUGUUAAAGGAAGAUAUGCAUUGAUAUGGGUUGGCUGUUUUCCCACCCAAAUCUCAUCUUGAAUCGUAGCUCCCAUAAUCCACACGUGUCAUGGGAGGGACCCAAUGGAAGGUAAUUAAAUAAUCGGGGUGGGUUUUUCCCAUGCUGCUCUCAUGAUAGUAAAUAAGUCUCAUGAAAUCUGAUGGUUUCAUAAUAUAAAGGGCAGUUCCCCUGCACAUGCUCUCUUGCCUGCCACCAUGUAAGAUGGGCCUUUGCUCCUCCUUUGCCUUCUGCCAUGAUUGUGAGGCCUCUCCAGCCAUGUGGAACUGUAAGUCCAUUAAAUCUCUUUUUCUUUAUAAAUUACCCAGUCUUGGAUAUCUCUUCAUAGGAGUGUGAAAAUGGACUAAUAGAUACAUAUAGGUACACAUACAUGUAUACAUAAAGCCAUUCCAAAAGACUUUGCUUCCUGAAGUUUGUAAAUGUAAACAAAUUUAUUGUACCAUCAUUUAGGUUACUACGUUGCUCACUAACAUAGAAACAAUAUCUAAAAUGGGUACUUAUAGGGUUAUUAAAAUAUAGUAUGAAUAUGGCUACUGGAAAAAAGUCAAAGAUAUAUUUUGAGGCCACUACUCUACGUCUCUUGAUGUUCUCUUGUACACAUUUGAUAUUGCACAAAAGCCAAAAGUUUGGACUCCUUUGAUUAAAGGCAAGGUCAAGUAAUCCUGCUGGUUCUACCUCUCCUCCCAUUUCUUAAAUGAAAGGAUGUAGUCAUAUAAGGUGCUGUUUAGUAAAAUGGUGCCGUGAAUUCAGCAUGAAAUGUCUGGGCAAGUGUUUUUCAAGUUGUCACAUAUAUACUAUAUUUAUCUUCCUCCUUUUCCCUCCUCAACCUCAGUCCCCAUCACCCAGUGUUUCAUAAGGUUUUACUUUCUGUAGCUUAUACUGUAAAACCAGGAGUUCCCUUCCUCCUCUCCCAAAUAUAACCUUUUCUAAUAAUAUUAAUUGCACUUUCCCUAACUAUACAUACCUCCCUGGAGAUUUUGAACUGUAAUUCUUUCUCUCCUCCAUUUUCCUUGAGCAUUUUUCAUCUAGUGGAAUAUUCGGUGGCAAAGCUCUCAUUCUGGAAGAAGUUUAGCCAUGUAAGCAUAGAAGAAAUAAGCCAACAAUGGUAAACAUAGUUAAUGCAUGUAGUUAAGUCUUCUAAACAUGUCACUUGAAUGAUGUCACAUUUUGCUUUUUCAAACUAGGAAUCAACAAAAUGGAGGAACAUUUGAGGUUUGUUAAGAAAUUUCCCUUCUUAGCCAUAGAACUAAGAUAUUUUUAAAUAAAGAAGAUCAUAGUGGGCCAUAAAUGAUGUGCCUUUCUAGGAUCCCAAAAUGUUUUAUUGAUUGAAUUAUAUAGAGAGAUUUAAUGGAACCGUGGUUGAAAAAUGCUUUUAAAGUCUUUGAUCACUGGGAUAUCAAUGGAACAAAUGGGUUAAAACAUUUUCAGAAUUUAAUCAUUUAUCUAGGUAACAGGGUUGGGGGUAAAUGGCGGGAGAGAAGGGGAGGGCCGGGGCAUUAAUGAAUAGUACUCCAUGUAAAAAGAAGAAUUGACUAGUAACAUCUGUACUAUUUAAAUUAACAGGCUGGCAUAUAUUGUUGUGCAGGUUUUGCAUUGCCCAAUUCUUGGGGGGGGCGGCAUUCACAUUUGUAGUCAUUAUGGGUUCCUCUAUUUAUAAUGCCAAUUUUCUAGCAGAUGUUGGUUUAUUGCCUUGAGAAACUGUUAGAUUCCUCUAAUUUUUGCAAAGAUGGCUUUGGGAAGUUGAAAGAUUACCUGAUUACUAUUAGAGAAUCCUGCUACCAAUACAUACUUGUCUUGUAUAAUUUGGGCAAAAUAUAAUAUUCCUGAAUCUUAGAUUCCUUGUUUGUAAAAUGUUUAAAAUAUAUCUAAAUGUAAGAAUUGUUGUAGCAUAUAUAUGUGAGUACAUGAAUGUGGCCGUCACAGCAGCUGUAAGUGGAAGAUAUUAUAAAUAUUGUUAAAACCUUCUGAUGUUUUAUUUUAAGCUGAUAGUUUUUCUUUAUGCUGACUUUACAGUGAGUUUUAAACAUACACUUGAGUUUAUCAUUUGUAUAUAACUACUGAUAGAAAUCUGAUGAAAAACACUAAUAGUAGUUUAUAAAAGAUUUUUUUCAAUAUGAACUUUUUGUUUCCAUUGUGAGAAAUUAAAUUUCAAAAUGUAAUUAUUAAAUGUAUGCCUGACUUUCAAAUGUUUUUCUAUAUCCAGCUAAUUAAAAAUAUUUAUAACGUAGUAGUAGUUAAAUGUCAUGUUCGCCUUAUUAGAAAGAAUGCCUUCAAAUCAGUAUUAUCAUGAUUACCAUUUAUUUAACAUCUUCAGUAUGCAGGGCAUUUAUAAAAUCUGUAGAAAUUAAUUUUCUCUAAAUGCAACAAGCUUUAUGACCAGCACUCACUGUCUAUAAAAGAUGACUUGCUUGGCAGAAGAGGAAACAGUUUCUUCAGACCUUCCAGCCACAGUCAGCCCUGGUGACAUUGCAUAUCAGCUUCUAAAGGGCCUCGCACAUUCCUUGGCUUGUGAUGUCCCUUCCCCAUCAUCAAAGACAGCAACGAAACUUCAGGCUACCAUACCUGCUUCAACUGUAGGAGAAUCUUAGUUCUGGAGAGUUGACCCUCCAGGCGAAGCAUUAGGCUUUGAUACAAUUUGUCUGGUACCGGCUGUAGAUCUGGUUUGGGCCCCAGACUAUCUUCCCUGUCCUCAAGAAUCAAAACCAACUUGGAAUGACUCCUGGCCCACUCAGCACCUUUCCGGAAGCCAGAAGAAUGAAGUGCCACACAUAUCAUCAGAGAGAAUUCCAAGGAAGAGGGAAUGGUCUAUAGUGUCUCAAGCCACAUUAAUCCUUCAAGAACAGUGUUAACUUUCUCAGGCUACUGGAACUCCACUUUUUGGAACUGUUAUAUUUACUGUUGGGGAGUGACUUUGGCACCAAGGAGAACUUGGCUCAAAUCACUGGUUCCAUCAAAUCCAG